GAGGUGGUGCAGGAUAUGGUGGAGCUAUUGGACUUGUUGGUAGCGGUGGUAAGGGAGGCGGUGAUGCUCCUGCUCGUGCCGGAGAAACUAGUGGUGUUGGUGAAGGUGGUGGGGGAGGUAGUAGUGGCGAGGGAGGUGGUGUAGGUUAUGUUGGAGGAGUAAAUGGUACUGGAUAUGGUAAUGGUGGAGGUGAAGGUGGUGGUGCUAUAGGACAUACUGGUGGUAGUGGUGGUGGUGGUGG
rnacentral:misc_RNA from 1 species